UCAGGCUAAAGCAUAAUUCACUGUGGAGAGCGCGUUUUUAAGGAGUGCUUAGAGGUGGAGUGUCUCCUCAUUUUACAACCACACACAACCUUUGAGGUGUGUUAUAUAGUCAGCCGAAGGAAUUUAGCCCACAGUUCUUUGUGAAAACAAGUCCACAGCCUGCAUUUGCCACAGUUUUAUUGGAGAGCAGAGAUCAAAGGAGGAAGUGACAGAUGCAAAAGUGGAUUAAAGUGCACGUGCAACGGCCCUGUGGAGUGAUUGAUUAACUGCCAGACCAAUGAUCUGCACCUACAGCCUGUUUCCUCCUCACUUGCCAUGAGUGGGUGAUGACAGCAGACCACCAUGCCGACCAUACCUGUGCCCUCUGCCAGCUGGCCAUGGAGACAGACAGGAGCUGGAAGCCCUCAGGGGGCAGAGACCCUGCCAUCCGUCUCCCCCAGUUCCAGGUGGCUGCGUAGUGGGGGCGGGCAAGA